rnacentral:tRNA from 1 species
GAGGUGUUGAAAAGUGAAUGCUGCUAACUUAUCACUAUAGCGGUUAAAGUCCGUUUACACCUCU